rnacentral:lncRNA from 1 species
UGAAAGGCUUAAGUGAAUUGAUUUGGCUACCUAUAUCAUCAAAGCACACUUACUUUUUCAGUCACAUAUCCAGAAAAACUCCAUGGUUAAGCGUGCUGGUGAUAGAGUAGUUGAAGGAUGGGUGACAUAUCGGAAAGUGAUUCACGAUAUCGUACGAGUGAGGCGAAAGAACAUAAAAUUUCAUGUGGUGAUUACAUGGUCAGUAAACAAGACUUUUGAGUCCCUGAUUGCCGUCGCAUGGAAUGGGAUCCACAGACCGAGUGAGAGGGUAUGGAAGGCCUAUUACCCGUGGGCAGUCGGGGCAUUGCAAAUCAAUCCGGGUUAAGAACUUUAAUGAAAAUUGUAUAAUCUAUCAAUUAUAAACUUUCAAUCUCUUCAAUUCCAUUGAAACUUCGACUUAACAGUGGAUUUACUCAGCCAUAGAAGUUUCAGUCAUUGCAGGUCAAGGUGGCUCCGUUCUGGCAGAUCAUGUUCGGAAGUUUGGUUUGAUCAAAAUGACUUCAUCUGGAUACUAUUCUCUGCUAGAGUUUUGAGGAGGAAAAGGUUUUUGUUGAGGCGGAUAUGACCAAAGAGAAGUCCAAAUAUCAUAAUUUCAUGUCCAAGUUGGGUGUCAA